rfam:Mycoplasma gallinaceum strain B2096 8B, complete genome.
UACAUCGGUCAGUAGCUGCAGCAAUGUAGAGGAAAGUCCGUGCUAACACCACCUGCGAUGGUGGUAGUGUUCAUGCCAGGACUAAUAAGCCUGGGCUUAGACGACUAGUGCCACAGAGACGAGAAUUGUGAAACGCGGUAAACUCCAUGAGUUAGAAACCCAAAUUAUGGUAGGGGAACCUAAGUUAGGAAAUGAACAAUACUUAGGAAUGUUCCUUGCGAACAUUAGAUAAAUUACUGACACUGCUUUUGCAGAACAGAACACGGCUUAUAGAU